GUCCUUUGUUGAAUAGUUACGCCCUGCUUCGGUAGGGUGAGGAAAGUCCGAACACAGCCCCGCUUAGGCGGGGAGAACGGUAGUGGGUAAUACCCAUCUAGAGCAAUCUACGAGGUGCGAGCAGAGACGCCAAUGCCGAAAGGCUAGGGUUCCUGGAUUUAUUCAGGAAUAGUCUCGACGGUAACGUCGAGGGUGAAACGGCUAAAUCCUUACCUCUGUGCAAGAUCGUGCCCUGCUUAGGCAGGGAGAAUCGCUCGAGUCUAAUGGCAACAUUAGGCCUAGAUAAAUUACUAUUUGCAAAACAGAAUUCGGCUUAUAGACAUAGGACCAAA
rnacentral:RNase_P_RNA from 1 species